rnacentral:tRNA from 1 species
GGAGCUGUGCCCGAAUGCCUAGGGGCCACUUUGAUAGAGUGGAACAUAGGGGUUAAAGCCCCCCUCAGCUCUU